rnacentral:lncRNA from 1 species
AUUCCAUCCUCCGGGUGUUUGUCACAGUUCAGCAUCCAAGCUGAAUCUCUAGUUACCAUGGAUGGAGAUGACCUUUCCUGGCUAUGCUAGCCAGCUUUCUGACCUCAAAAAAAACACCAGCAUUUAAGAUAUUGAGGGUCAGAAAAAUAUCAAGAACAGGCAGCUGAUUCUCAGGUGUCAAGCUCAAAAUCAGCAAGAAUCGGGUAGCAGAUGCAGAAGUCUGACUGGGAGCGAGAUCCCUCUCCCCUCUCCACCACGCACUAGGAGUGGAUACUAAAGCCAGAGGAAGGCUGACAACAUGAGGUGUUUCACAAAGGACAACAGGACGACAAGAGCUACCCUCAUCAUACAGAGAUCAAAAAGUAACCAGACGACAUGAGAGCCCUUCCCAACUCCAGCUAAGUGUCAGUGAGAAGGGACAAGUCGCAGCAGGGCUUUUCCCUGAGUUUGUGUGGAAGGAACAAGAACCGUUCUCUCUAUCAGGAACAACAGAUAACCAGAGCCAGAAAGAACACUUCUGUUAUCAGAAUGAUGCUCUACCACACACAUCUAUCUGAUCUUGACCACUAGAAUGAAGCUCACCCUCACUGUCAAGUGCCAGGUUUGAGAGCAGGGCAUCCGAACUGGCCUUUCAAUCCUAGGGCCCUCUUCCCUACUGUUUCCAAACCAACUAAGCCAAAACUGUAGUUCUGGUGAGGCUGUUGAGAAGACUCAGAGGUUAAAAGUACUUGCUGCUCUAUGGAGGACUCAGGUUCAGUUCCCAACACCCAUAUGAUCGCUCAUGAUCAUCUACAACUCCUGUUGCAGUGACUCUAGUGCCCUCUUCUGGCCUCUACAGGCUUCUGCAUGCCCGUGGUGCAUAUAAACUCAUACAGGAGAAUACACAUAUACAUAAAGUGGAAAGAUGAAUAAAUUAAAAGGCACCACAGAGAUAAGAGACAAAGAAAUGAGAAACAACCUUUUCGAUCUUUGGUACGGUGAAAUCUGCUAACUGCCCAGCUUCCACUCGCACAGGCUGGUAUUUCAUGAUCACCCCUGAGUUAUGGAUAUAAAAACACUGGUAAGAGGAGAAAUAUUUUUGAGCCUUUUACAUAAAACCUCCACGACUUUAGCACCAUGCGAUGAAGUAGAAGUGUGGGUCCCACGGUGAUUAACCAGAUUUUAUAGGCAAUGUUUCAAACAAGCACCAGGCUGUGUGUCUUCAGCUAUUGUUGGGAUGAUUUCAUUAGGUUCUCUGAUAAAUAAUGCAGGCUCUAAUGAUGCAUUUCCUCUUUAAAAAAAAAAAACCCACAAUGGAAACUCCAUUUCAUAAAGCAAAGAAGAACUAUGGCAUCUGUUUAAUUUUUAUUACUUUUAAAUUAAUCCGUAAGGUCUUAAGAAGUGGAUACCGACUUGAAAGGGGAGAAUAAAAGGGAGGGGAAAGGUUUACCUGUUUAAAAGGUGAACUCAUGCCCCGGUGAGUGGAAAAUGGAUCUAGGUCAAUAGCCAGCAUGGAAGCCCCACCUUCCUCCAUCGAGCUCUUUCCAGAUCACAAAAGGAAAGCGGUCCUGCCAAAUUAAAACUCUCCAUAACAAUAAACCCUGAUUUAAUGCAGUCAUUAUUUUUCCAUUAAAUCUGAAUAUCAUCU